rnacentral:tRNA from 1 species
GUUGAAUAAUUUAAAUAAAAUAUCUACCUUGAAAGUAGAAUAAGGAAAUACCAUCCUUCAACUUA